rnacentral:rRNA from 1 species
UUAUGUAGAAAGUACACACACACCCCCAAUCUCAUGUGAUCUUGGAAGCUAAGCAGGGUCGGGCCUGGUUAGUACUUGGAUGGGAGACCUUCUGGGAAUACCGGGUGCUGCGGGCU